rnacentral:rRNA from 1 species
AGCGAACGCUGGCGGCAGGCUUAACACAUGCAAGUCGAGCGGGCAUCCUUGUGGUGUCAGCGGCAGACGGGUGAGUAACGCGUGGGAACGUGCCCUUCGGUUCGGAAUAACUCAGGGAAACUUGGGCUAAUACCGGAUACGUGCGAGAGCAGAAAGGUUUAUCUGCCGAAGGAUCGGCCCGCGUCUGAUUAGCUAGUUGGUGAGGUUAUGGCUCACCAAGGCGACGAUCAGUAGCUGGUCUGAGAGGAUGCACAGCCACACUGGGACUGAGACACGGCCCCGACUCCUACGGGAGGCAGCAGUGGUGACUAUUGGACAAGGGGGCCAACCCUGAUCCAGCCAUGCCGCGUGAGUGAUGACGGCCUUAGGGUUGUAAAGCUCUUUUCUCCGGGACGAUAAUGACGGUACCGGAGGAAUAAGCCCCGGCUAACUUCGUG